rnacentral:tRNA from 1 species
GGGGAUUUGGCUCAGUGGUAGAGCGCUUGCCUAGGAAGCACAAGGUCCUGGGUUCGGUCUCCAGCCCCA